UAUCAGUACAGUGUUUACAGGAUAGGUUAGAUGAAACUUUAUUGAGUACAUAUUUUUAACCGCGUUGAAAUGAUAAAACACCUGUAAUAAGUAUUGAUGUGAUUUUCGUAACCCCGCUUAAAAUAUUUGUUUAUUCAAUAUGGAAACUAAUUAACAUGCACAUGACAGUUAUAUAUCUAAGUGAAACAGUGAACGAGUGGAUAUUGGCAUACUUUGCAAACGAGAUUUAAAAGAAAAUGCGCGGGCCUUGUAUGCGCUUUUUGUUGACGGUUGCUGUCGUCGCAAAUGCUUCAAUUGUCACCUACUCAACUGAAACAGCAUCAGUAAUGACAACUGUUACACCUCCCUCAAAUACUGAUCAAACAGAAAACGUUUUCAGUCUUACACAUACUCCACCAUCAGAUGUUAAUAAAACAAGCAUUACAUUUUCUGCAUCUGAAAUAAGCCCAGCAUAUCCACCAACACAUUCUACAAUAACAACGUGCUCAAAUUUUAUGGAUAUACCAUCUGAAAGUGGAUACGCUAACUUUACGGAA